rnacentral:tRNA from 1 species
AGCACGGCGGUGCAGCGGUCAGCACCGUUGCGUCUCAAGAAGCAGGUUCUGGGUUCGAGUCCCAGCUGGCCUG